rnacentral:rRNA from 1 species
GACGAACGCUGGCGGCGUGCCUAAUACAUGCAAGUAGAACGCUGAAGGAGGGGCUUGCUUCUCCGGAUGAGUUGCGAACGGGUGAGUAACGCGUAGGUAACCUGCCUGGUAGCGGGGGAUAACUAUUGGAAACGAUAGCUAAUACCGCAUAAGAGUAGAUGUCGCAUGACAUUUGCUUAAAAGGUGCAACUGCACCACUACCAGAUGGACCUGCGUUGUAUUAGCUAGUUGGUGAGGUAACGGCUCACCAAGGCAACGAUACAUAGCCGACCUGAGAGGGUGAUCGGCCACACUGGGACUGAGACACGGCCCAGACUCCUACGGGAGGCAGCAGUAGGGAAUCUUCGGCAAUGGACGGAAGUCUGACCGAGCAACGCCGCGUGAGUGAAGAAGGUUUUCGGAUCGUAAAGCUCUGUUGUAAGAGAAGAACGAGUGUGAGAGUGGAAAGUUCACACUGUGACGGUAUCUUACCAGAAAGGGACGGCUAACUACGUG